rnacentral:rRNA from 1 species
UUAUUUAAUAAAAAAUAAAACCUGCCCUCUGAUUUUUUAAUUUAAAGGCCGCAGUAUUUUGACUGUGCUAAGGUAGCAUAAUCAUUAGAUUUUUAAUUGUAAUCUUGAAUGAAUGGUUUAAUGAGAUAAAAUCUUUUUUAUUAAUAAUAUAGAAUUUUAUUUUUUAGUUAAAAAGCUAAAAUAAUUUAAAGGGACGAGAAGACCCUAUAGAAUUUUAUAUUUUUAAUAAAAAUUUUAUUUUUAAUAAUAUUUUAUUUUAUAUUAAAAAUAUUUUAUUGGGGCGAUAAUUAAAUUUAAUUAACUUUUAUAAAAUAUUCAUUAAUUAAUGUAUACAUGAUCUUUUAUAUUGAUUAAAAAUUUAAAUUACCUUAGGGAUAACAGCAUUAUAUUAUUAAAAAGUUCAUAUUUUUAAUAAUGUUUAUGACCUCGAUGUUGGAUUAAAUAAAAUUAUUAUAUGAAGAUAUAUAAUAAAUAAGUCUGUUCGACUUUUAAUUAUUUACAUGAUC